GGGAGAAGGCAAGGGUCAGGGUUUGAAUACUGUCAGUUACUGAAGGAUGGGGACAGGUGAUACAGUUUAGGCCUGUGAUCUGUUUGUUGGAGGGAAGUGUGCUAUGUGUGUCAGUGAAGCUGUGUUACAAACAAACGUUUUCCAUUAAUGGAAUUUCAUUAAGUCAAGUGCUCUGUUCAGUGGCUAGUUUUGCAUUGAAAGCAGUGAUGUAGUUCAACAUAAAAUAACAUGGGUAAAUGCUGGUCACAGUGAAUAAAGUACCGCUCCCUUUACUUUUAAAGUAUGUUUCUGAAAUAGAAAAUAGGUGACUCAACACUCACUCAAAAUAAAAAGAAGGUGCUGAAACAGCGUUUCCGUGAGUUAACACUACAUCUCUGGUUGAAAGAUACCACAUACACAAUUGUUAGUAACUAAAGGUUUUACAUACAAGGGAUACCCUCCAUAUCUUGCGCUUCCUAAAUCUAAUUCAUUUCUAGUCUUCCAGUGUCCUGGAACGAGGGAAGAUGCUGUCCAUGAGCUGGCCAGGAGAGAGAGAUCGAGGGAAGAGUAAAGAUUGCUGGGAGGACAGAGGAGAGGCGGAGGACUGCAAUAGCCGCGUGACAGCCCUGACCGCUCGGUACGAAGCAUGAUGCUGUCUACGAAACAUAAUGUUAUGAUAGUGUUGAUAAACAGUAUAGUAAAAUUACAGUCCCCAGCCAGAUAGUAAUGCAGCAACCCUGGCAUUGAUAAACAUGAUGUCUUUGAAUUGUUUUUUUACAAUGGUUGAAUGAAUAAACUAAAACGACAUCUUUACCAAUGAAUAAACUAAAACGACAUCUAGACCGAUGAAUAAACUAAAACGACAUCUAGACCGAUGAAUAAACUAAAACGACAUCUAGACCGAUGAAUAAACUAAAACGACAUCUUUACCGAUGAAUAAACUAAAACGACAUCUAGACCGAUGAAUAAACUAAAACAACAUCUUUACCGAUGAAUAAACUAAAACGACAUCUAGACCGAUGAAUAAACUGAAAAGACAUCUAGACCGAUGAACAAACUAAAACAACAUCUUUACCGAUGAAUAAACUAAAACGACAUCUAGACCGAUGAAUAAACUAAAACGACAUCUAGACUGAUGAAUAAACUAAAACGACAUCUUUACCGAUGAAUAAACUAAAACGACAUCUAGACCGAUGAAUAAACUGAAAAGACAUCUAGACCGAUGAAUAAACUAAAACGACAUCUAGACCGAUGAAUAAACUAAAACGACAUCUUUACCAAUGAAUAAACUAAAACGACAUCUAGACCGAUGAAUAAACUAAAACGACAUCUAGACCGAUGAAUAAACUAAAACGACAUCUUUACCGAUGAAUAAACUAAAACGACAUCUAGACCGAUGAAUAAACUAAAACGACAUCUUUACCGAUGAAUAAACUAAAACGACAUCUAGACCGAUGAAUAAACUAAAACAACAUCUUUACCGAUGAAUAAACUAAAACAACAUCUAGACCGAUGAAUAAACUAAAACGACAUCUUUACCGAUGAAUAAACUAAAACGACAUCUAGACCGAUGAAUAAACUGAAAAGACAUCUAGACCGAUGAAUAAACUAAAACGACAUCUAGACCGAUGAAUAAACUAAAACGACAUCUAGACCGAUGAAUAAACUAAAACGACAUCUAGACCGAUGAAUAAACUAAAACGACAUCUAGACCGAUGAAUAAACUAAAACAACAUCUUUACCGAUGAAUAAACUAAAACGACAUCUAGACCGAUGAAUAAACUAAAACUACAUCUUUACCGAUGAAUAAACUAAAACGACAUCUAGACCGAUGAAUAAACUAAAACGACAUCUAGACCGAUGAAUAAACUAAAACGACAUCUUUACCGAUGAAUAAACUAAAACGACAUCUUUACCGAUGAAUAAACUAAAACGACAUCUUUACCGAUGAAUAAACUAAAACGACAUCUUUACCGAUGAAUAAACUAAAACGACAUCUAGACCGAUGAAUCAACUACGUCACGCUGGUGUAAAGGAUUUUGGAGACAGGCGCAGGAAUACACAAUAAGGGUUUUUAAUACACCCUAAACAAACACGUAUACAAAAACACUGGGCUGAACCUAAACAAGAGAGGGCACAAAUAUAACAUGCUAAUCAGGGGAAAUGGGAACCAGGUGUAUGUUAUCAGACAAGACAGUCCGGGGUUGAUGAUAAUGGAACCAGGUGUGUGUUAUCAGACAAGACAGUCCGGGGUUGAUGAUAAUGAAUCCCGUUCAGUGAAACCUAGAAGUCAGUAGUGAUGUAGACCUCCGGAACUGGUGAAAAGAAUGAGCAGCAGUACCGGGGGGAUCCGUGACAAAUAAACUAAAACUACAUCUAGACAGAUUUAAUAAAGUAAAACUACAUCUGGACCGAUGAAUCAACUACAUCUAGACCGAUGAAUCAACUAAAACUACAUCUAGACAGAUUUACUGAAAUAAAACUACAUCUAGACCGAUUUACUAAAGUAAAACUACAUCUGGACCGAUGAAUCAACUAAAAGUACAUCUAGACCGAUUUACUAAAAUAAAACUACAUCUGGACUGAUGAAUCAACUACAUCUAGACCGAUGAAUCAACUAAAACUACAUCUAGACCGAUGAAUCAACUAAAACUACAUCUAGAUCGAUUACUAAAAUAAAACUACGUCUAGACAGAUUUACUGAAAUAAAACUACAUCUAGACAGAUUUACUAAAAUAAAACUAUAUCUAGACAGAUUUACUAAAAUAAAACUACAUCUAGACCGAUGAAUCAACUAAAACUACAUCUAGAUCGAUUACUAAAAUAAAACUACAUCUAGACAGAUUUACUGAAAUAAAACUACAUCUAGACAGAUUUACUAAAAUAAAACUACAUCUAGACCGAUGAAUCAACUAAAACUACAUCUAGAUCGAUUACUAAAAUAAAACUACAUCUAGACAGAUUUACUGAAAUAAAACUACAUCUAGACCGAUGAAUCAACUAAAACUACAUCUAGAUCGAUUACUAAAAUAAAACUACAUCUAGACAGAUUUACUGAAAUAAAACUACAUCUAGACAGAUUUACUGAAAUAAAACUACAUGUAGACAGAUUUACUAAAAUAAAACUACAUCUAGACCGAUGAAUCAACUAAAACUACAUCUAGACCGAUUUACUAAAAUAAAACUACAUCUGGACAGAUUUACUAAAAUAAAACUACAUCUGGACAGAUUUACUGAAAUAAAACUACAUCUAGACAGAUUUACUGAAAUAAAACUACAUCUAGACAGAUUUACUAAAAUAAAACUACAUCUAGACCGAUGAAUCAACUAAAACUACAUCUAGACCGAUUUACUAAAAUAAAACUACAUCUGGACAGAUUUACUGAAAUAAAACUACAUCUAGACCGAUGAAUCAACUAAAACUACAUCUAGACCGAUUUACUAAAAUAAAACUACAUCUGGACAGAUUUACUGAAAUAAAACUACAUCUAGACAGAUUAACUAAAAUAAAACUACAGUAUAGACUGAUUCUUGCCCAGAAGGUUGUGAGUUUGUGUCUCACCUUUGACCUUUACGCUUCUCCCGCCGUUUCAUCACACAAGUGGGAUUUGUUCAUGAUUCUAACACCAACGAAAAAAUGGUUCGUCCUCCUCAGUCUUUCAAAUCAGAUGAACCUACAGCUGUGCUUCAUCAAUGACAGCGGGAGCGAAGAAGAGGAGGAGGAUUCUGGGGUAACGAUUUGCACAAAGAAUUCCAAAAUGGUGGUAAAGAAUGCUUCCGGCGUGCAGGUGUCCCAGCAGCCCCAGUCCCCAGCUGCAACCAAAAGCAAAUCAUCAGGCUUCAAGGCUGCGCUGAGUGCACUCAAAAACAAGCUGAGAACAGAACAGAAACGGAAGAGCCUAGUGUGUGGUGAUCCACUGUUGAAGAAUAGAAAGCGAGACCAUAGUGACCUGCAGGCCUCCAGUCUCAAAGAACUCAACACUCACAGAAACUCUCUCAAUAAGGCAAUACAAGACCUGAGCACUGAGCUGGUGGUUCACCUCCAGGCUCGAGACCAGCUGAGGACGGAACAGGACGCCAUGCUGCUGGAGGUACAGGAUAUGACAUCACUCUGACCCAGUCCCAGGCAAGAUGGGGGACAGUUUGUGCUGCAGAUUUCGUACUAGAAAUUCCUCUCCGGGGUUCAAUCUCUAUGACAAGGCCCAUCACUAUAGAAUCCUUCUAAUCAUUCUAAUUCUAUGGUGAGUGUCAUCACAUAAAAUGGAAUCCUGGUGUCGGUGAUGUCACAAUUAAUCGAUGACGGAUUAGACGCCGAAAGGAUGAGUCAAAUCACUGUGAAGAGACUGCAUCACUCCUAAAGACUGUUGAAUUGAAUUGCACAGCGUUUUCGUUUUUCUUUUUAUACCCAGUGAGCAAAACUGGUUGAAAUGACAUCAUUACACCCAGUUUUACAUUCAUUAUGACAUCACGUCGACCAGUUUUGUUUUCCCUCUGUGUUUUUGUUUGUUUGUGGGAAAUCAAAUGUGUAUGUCUGGACUGUUAAUGUUUUAGUGUUUUAGGGGGAAAUAACUGGAAUAUUAUAAGGGAUGAAUAAAUUACCAUUGCUUCCCAUGGAUCGAUCUAGCUCUAAUGUCAUUGUCAUCCAAGUGUUGAAAUGUAAUGGUUGUUUGCUAGCACAUUAUUCAAAUUAUGCGUCAUAUUAUACCAAAUAAAGCUGAUUCUGAUUGCAUAAUAAUCAUCUAACCACUAGGCUACCGGGGCGGCAGGUAGACUAGUGGUUAGAGUGCAGGGGCGGCAGGUAGACUAGUGGUUAGUCUGUAGGGGCGACAGGUAGACUAGUGGUUAGUCUGUAGGGGCGGCAGGUAGACUAGUGGUUAGAGUGUAGGGGUGGCAGGUAGACUAGUGGUUAGUCUGUAGGGGCGGCAGGUAGACUAGUGGUUAGAGUGUAGGGGUGGCAGGUAGACUAGUGGUUAGAGUGUAGGGGCG
ensembl:lncRNA